rnacentral:lncRNA from 1 species
CCUGGGAAACUCCACGUCUUCGAUCUCCUCCCUGAACGUCUUCAGCAGCGCUUUCUGGAGCUUCGCGAAGUCGGAAUAGCGCCGUUCCAGGACGGCCUUGUUGUUGUCAAAGCUCCCAGUCUGGAUGACGAUGAUUUGGUACACCUAGGGCGCAACCAGAGAGAGCUGUGGCCACCUCCCGGCGGGGGCUGCGGCGGACGGAGCACACCCAGAGUAAAGUUAACCAGGCCGGUGUAAAGCAUGCCCUGAAAACGGGCGAUCCUUAUAUGCAAUUGUUUGUUUGUUUGUUUGUUUGUUUGUUUAUUUAUUUAUUUAUUUAUUUAUUUAUUUAUUUUUAGAGACAGGGUCUCGCACUGUUACCCAGGCUGGAGUACAGUGAUGCGAUCAUACCUCACUGCAACCUUGAACUUAUGGGCUCAAUUGACCUGCCCACCUGAGCCUCCUGAGUAGCUGGGACUACAGGCACACCCACUACCUGGCAGAUUUUUUGAUUUUUUUUAAAAGAUGGGGUCUGGCUGUGUUGCCCAGGCUGGUCUCCAACUCCUGGGCUCAAGCGAUCCUCCUACCUGGGCCUCCCAAAGUGCUGGGAUUACAGGCAUGAGCCACUGCACCUGGCCCAAUUCUGUUUUAAAUUGCUAUUGGCAUCAGCUGAGUCAACCCUGGAACAACAACACAGCAAGGUGGGGACAUCUGGGAGGAGAAAGGGCAGAGGGUCCUGCCCUGCAGGCUGCUGGGGUCCCUCUUGGCUUUACUUGCUAAAACUGGGCCUCUGUUUUCUGAACUGAGAUGCUGUGUUUUCCAAAUGUUUCACACUUGGGAAUUAGUUUUACGUACAAUAUAACAUCAUUUAGGUACACUGGUGAUGCCGUUAUAUGGUAAGAAAAUCAAUCCUUUUCAAUCAUCUUUCAAGAGAAUCCUGAUUACGGGCAAUUAUAUAUUAAGGGCAAUUAUAACCCAUGCAUCUGACUCCAGAGCCAGAUUGCAUGGGUUGUAAUUAUAGCCCUACCAUGGUCUAGCUGUGUGGUUUUAGAUGAGUAAUUUAACCUCUCCGAGUCUCACUUUUCUCAUUCAUAAAACAAGGAUAGGCAUAGUGCCUACCUCACCCAGUGAGGAUUAAAUGAGUUAAUGCACUGAAACCACAUGGAGCUGUGCCCGGCAUGCCAUUGGCAUUCAGUGGUAGCUAUGUUAUUUAUCCCGGUCCCAGGUAAGUGAAGGAGAAGGAUGAAGUGUGGCUCUUAGGCAGUCUUUAACAUCCCUUAACACAAGCUAAAAUUCCAUUCUAACAGGGAGAGGAGCAGCUCCCAGGCACAGGGCUUUCCCGAAGCCACAGUAACCAGCUAGAAUUUAAUAACAGCACAUAGCUUUCCUUGUAUUGACUUUCCUUGUAUCGACUUUUCUAGUAUGUUACUUUUGCUUUGUGCCAUGUGAUAUUGGUUUUCCAUUUAAGGUAUUUCUCUUUGAAAUAAAUGUGCUUCAUGUUUUUAAAAAGUGAUCCAAUUUAAAGAAAAAAAUAAGUAAUAAUAAUUAGAACAGAUACAGUGAUAUGGCAAAAUUGGUGAAGAAAGGACACAGGUGACUGACACCUGAUAAGAUGGGAUUAAACUGGGCUAUUUCCUUCUUGGGACCAAGAAAUAUGACUUAUAUGGUUCGAAUCCUCACAGACCCUAGCAGGUGCUGAGCCUGAAAUCUUGCUCUUUGGCCAUUUUCUCCAGAAGAAAGCUGUGAGUUAGUGUGUUGACCCAUUUCAUAGUUGGGAAACCUGAGGCUCUACAAGACUUAUUCAGGGCCAGGAAGGAAGCAGAGUGAAAGAGGCUCCACCAUUUCCCAAUCUCUGCUUACCACAAACUUAGAGACUUUUCUCUCCUCGAUGCGAGCUGAAGCGAUCUCAAAGAGCAGUUUGACGUGCUUCCAGCGGCAUUUCUGGUUCUGCCAGUACUGCUGAAGCUCCCGCGUGGUCAUGCUGGAGUUGGAGCUCAGGCCACUGUGUGUGUCUGGAAGGACAACACCCUUAAGGAUCUGCACCCUGUCAGUGCACUUCCGAGGCAUGGGCUUGGGGAGAUGGCUGGGUCUAUCUGAGAUGGCAUAUCAGAACUCCUGAAGAGUAUUGAAUAUCCCUCUCUCCCACCCCGCCAUUUAUAGGCCCAAUUGGGGCAUCAGACAGACCUCUGUGCCCAGCCUGGCAGAAUCCACCCUACCACCGACAAUCCCAAAUAGCCCAUCACCCCCAAGUGGUUUCACAGCUUUGGAAUGCGGUGCGGGCACUUUGCAUCGUCCACUUCUGGUCUGUAGAUUGGCCAUGGUGAAAUCCCUGCUCUGGACAAGCAGAGACGGUGGCUUGUGUGUUUCUGUGCUCCCUGCAGCCCUGACUUCGUGACUGUUGCCACGACUCCUUGAGCACACAUCAGUGGGCAGGGGAGGCAGUGAGGAGGAUGUUAUGUUCCAGCCUCAGCGGGCUGGCCCUUCCUAACCUUCUCAUCUAACUGCCCACAUGCCGGGCUCUUCUCGGACGUGCACUGCUCUGCCUUGCAUCCAACCCUCUAUUUCCACGCCUGGAAAACGAACACAGUGUUUCUUAAACCCCACUUGAGCCCUGCGCCACUCUGAGGUUCUUAAGAAGCACAAAUAAUUGUGCAUUUUAUUGCAAAGGGCAUGGGUCCCAGCCCUUUUCCAGUCUACCCUUCAAGACCCAGCCCCCACAUCACUGCAAAUGCCCCUUGGCAUUAGAGUAAGAGCUUCCCACCUUGUUCCUACAGGUUUUUCAUUUUAUUUAUUUAUUUCUCGUGGCACGUGUAACUGUUUCUCACUGAUCUGUUUCUCUACCAAACCUCAGGACUAGUGCAGUGUUUGAUUUCUUCCUGUUUCUGUUUCUCCAGUGCCCUGCAUAGGGCCAGGAACAGAGCAGGUAUUGAAUAGGGCAUCUCGAAGGACUGUAAGAAAAGAUCUGUUCCAGGAGAUGGCACUACAGCAGAUGCUGUCCAUGCCCCAGGCUGGACCGUGCCCUCUUGGCACCCACUUUUCCAGAACAUGCCACUGGCUUCCCUGAGGGCUUUCUAGGGCCAUAGCAGCAGGCCCAGGAGCGUCCCUUCUCCUAUGCAGGGCAGGACUGGUAGAUAACAGCCCGGCUUCCUCACCCCUAGGAUAGGACAACCCAGAGAUAUGUUCCAGGGUCUCCCAGAAGACCCCCGCUGGGGUUGAGCUUCAGCCACCUACCGUGCCUAUCUGUUCACUGAUGUCCUGCCCUGGCCUCUUGCCCUUUCCUUCCAUUCCCACUCCCCUGCCAUGACUCCUAGGACCGUCUCCCGGAUAAACAGCUUGCACUAGAUCUGUGUCUCAGUGUCUGUUUUGGGAUAACCCAAGUUACAAGAGCUGCCCGGGCCUCUUGCUGCAUCCCCCAAAGUGACCCACAUUUGUACUUUGAAUGUCUUCAGACCUCUCCCCCAGACCGAGUCUCAAGCCUCAAGCCCACCUAAGUGCCCGUCAGGUCCUGGGUGCGGGAGGUCGGGGCCAGUGGCUGGUGCUUCCUGCUGGGUCCUUGCC